GACGAGCGCUGGCGGCGUGCUUAACACAUGCAAGUCGAACGGAAAGGCCUCUUUCGGGGGGUACUCGAGUGGCGAACGGGUGAGUAACACGUGAGUAACCUGCCCUUGACUUUGGGAUAACUUCAGGAAACUGGGGCUAAUACCGGAUAGGAGCUCCUGCUGCAUGGUGGGGGUUGGAAAGUUUCGGCGGUUGGGGAUGGACUCGCGGCUUAUCAGCUUGUUGGUGGGGUAGUGGCUUACCAAGGCUUUGACGGGUAGCCGGCCUGAGAGGGUGACCGGCCACACUGGGACUGAGAGACGGCCCAGACGCCUACGGGAGGCAGCAGUGGGGAAUAUUGCACAAUGGGUGGAAGCCGGAUGCAGCAACGCCGUGUGCGGGAUGACGGCCUUCGGGUUGUAAACCGCUUUCGCUCAUGACGAAGCUUUGUGUGACGGUAGUGGGUAAAGAAGCACCGGCUAACUACGUG
rnacentral:rRNA from 1 species